rnacentral:rRNA from 1 species
UGGGGAAUAUUGCACAAUGGAGGGAACUCUGAUGCAGCGACGCCCCGUGAACGAAGAAGGCUUUCGAGUCGUAAAGUUCUUUUAUAUGGGAAGAUAAUGACGGUACCAUAAGAAAAAGCCCCGGCUAACUACGUGCCAGCAGCCGCGGUAAUACGUAGGGGGCUAGCGUUGUCCGGAAUCACUGGGCGUAAAGGGUUCGCAGGCGGAAAUGCAAGUCAGGUGUAAAAGGCAGUAGCUUAACUACUGUAAGCAUUUGAAACUGCAUAUCUUGAGAAGAGUAGAGGUAAGUGGAAUUUUUAGUGUAGCGGUGAAAUGCGUAGAUAUUAAAAAGAAUACCGGUGGCGAAGGCGACUUACUGGGCUCAUUCUGACGCUGAGGAACGAAAGCGUGGGUAGCAAACAGG